GACGAACGCUGGCGGCGUGCUUAACACAUGCAAGUCGAACGGAAAGGCCCUGCUUUUGUGGGGUGCUCGAGUGGCGAACGGGUGAGUAACACGUGAGUAACCUGCCCUUGACUUUGGGAUAACUUCAGGAAACUGGGGCUAAUACCGGAUAGGAGCUCCUGCUGCAUGGUGGGGGUUGGAAAGUUUCGGCGGUUGGGGAUGGACUCGCGGCUUAUCAGCUUGUUGGUGGGGUAGUGGCUUACCAAGGCUUUGACGGGUAGCCGGCCUGAGAGGGUGACCGGCCACAUUGUGACUGAGAGACGGCCCAGACUCCUACGGGAGGCAGCAGUGGGGAAUAUUGCACAAUGGGCGGAAGCCUGAGGCAGCAACGCCGCGUGCGGGAUGACGGCCUUCGGGUUGUAAACCGCUUUCGCCUGUGACGAAGCGUGAGUGACGGUAAUGGGUAAAGAAGCACCGGCUAACUACGUGC
rnacentral:rRNA from 1 species